GCAGCUCACAGGAGCCGCUGGAAAACAGCCCUAAAAACUAACUGCACACGCUACCUCUACUGGAUCCUCCAGCGUCAGAUCAGGCUGUCAGAGCAGGUUUGUUGGCAGCCAUGCACUUUCUGAGAGCGCUGCGUCUGUCCAACUCUGUCCAACUGAUCGUCAAACAAACAGAUGCAGCGAAGAAGGUUUUCAUCACACAGCCAGCAUGUUGUCUGAGCACCAAAUCAACCACGACGUCCCACAGUCCACCGCCUACACACUCGGGUACUCUUCAUCUCAAAAUGAACGUCCAUUCAAAGCCCCCCAGCUCUGGAGUGGAGGACAUGCUGUUCUACACCAUCACAGAGGGGAAAGAGCAGGUCCCCGUUUCAUACUUCACCUCAGCCCUGAAGAGAACCGGCCUCCACCCAUCAGACCCUCGUCUGAAGGACUGUAUGGAGAAACUCAGACAGGCAGUGAGGAAAUCUGUUGGUGAGGUGAUGAUGGACAGAGAUCUCUUCCACAGGUGUGUCGGAGGAAACAUGGUCCUGCUGAUCCAGGCCUUCAGAAAGAAAUUUAUCAUCCCUGAGUUUGACAUGUUUGCACAAAAAAUAAAUGAAAUCUACAACACAGUGCAAAAUCAAAGUGAUGGGAAGGUUGCAGACUACAUCCCCCAACUCGCAAAGUUUAGUCCAGAUCUGUGGGGUGUGUCUUUGUGUACAGUGGAUGGCCAGAGGCACUCAGUUGGUGACACCAAGCAGCCCUUCUGCCUGCAGUCCUGCGUGAAGCCUCUGCAGUACGCCAUCGCUGUCCACGAGGCGGGAACAGAGAAGGUUCAUCGUUAUGUAGGCAUGGAGCCCAGUGGACUCAAGUUCAAUAUGCUCUCCCUUGAUGAUGAAGAUAAACCCCAUAACCCCAUGGUGAACGCUGGAGCCAUAGUGAUCAGCUCUCUUAUAAAGCCUCGUUCAAAUAAGGCAGAGAAGUUUGAUUAUGUUAUGGAGUUUGUGAAAAAGAUGGCAGGACAAGAGUAUGUGGGAUUCAGCAACGCCAUGUUCCAGUCAGAAAAAGAAACAGGCGACAGAAAUUUUGCCAUCGGAUACUACAUGAAGGAGAAGAAGUGUUUUCCUCCUGGAGCGGAUAUGAUCGAUGCCCUGGACUUCUACUUCCAGCUUUGCUCCAUCGAGGUGACCUGCGAAUCAGGAAGCAUUAUGGCUGCCACUCUGGCCAACGGAGGGAUCUGUCCAAUCACAGGCGAGCGUGUCCUGAGUGCUGAGGCAGUGCGAAACACUUUGAGUCUCAUGCACUCAUGUGGCAUGUAUGACUUCUCUGGACAGAUGGCUUUUCAUGUGGGCUUGCCGGCCAAAUCCGGCGUGUCCGGUGCAAUAGUGCUGGUGAUCCCAAACGUCAUGGGAGUGAUGUGUUGGUCUCCUCCUCUUGACAGAGUUGGAAACAGCGUGCGGGGAAUACACUUCUGUCAGGAGCUUGUCUCGCUCUUCAAUUUCCACAAUUAUGACAAUUUAAGGCACUUUGUAAAGAAGCAGGACCCUCGCAGGCCGGAGGGAGAUGACAGGAACAAGUCUGUUUUUAGUUUGAUGUUCGCUGCCUACAGUGGAGAUGUGUCUGCACUGAGAAGGUUUGCUCUCUCAUCGAUGGACAUGGACUUGAAAGACUACGACUCUCGAACAGCGCUGCAUAUCUCUGCAGCAGAGGGUCACAUAGAUGUGGUGAAAUUCCUCACUGAAACCUGCAAAGUUGAUCCAUUUGUAGAGGACAGGUGGGGGAACCUGCCCAUCGAUGAUGCCAUGCAGUUCGGACAUGACGAGGUAGUGAAGGUGCUAAAAGACUAUCAGCAGGUCUGGAGGCAGCAGGAAUCACAGCACACUGGGGCUGCGCAUUCCCCGAAGCUGGACCCAAUCGAGGGCAUGGUGUGAUGCACACAAGCCUCCACACUAACAUAAGUGAAGACCCUCAAUUACUCGCCAAUUAUCUUCCCAAGCAGCAGGUAAACCUAACAGCCUUCUGUCUCCGACCAUGAGUUUUGCCUGUGCACUUCCUCGUUCUCGUCUGCCUGUGGCUGUGCGGUGUUCUACUGCUUCAGCUCUGUUGAGAGAGAUCGCCAUUCUUCCGGCCAUCUUCAGAGCCUCCCCCCAAGCGAAACAUCUCCUCUGCGUGAGUGCCACUGGUGUCUAUUGUUCUGAUGGUACACCGAUUGCCCGCCUGUCCUCGUUUAUCCCGCUGCCUGCUCCUACUGGACUCGUCUGCUCCGCUGCCUGCCAGUCUGUCUCAAACUCUGCUUCCUCCUUGACCACGAGCCCUGCCUGCCCCUCUCUGGAGUCUCUGCUUUUCCCACAAGCUCCCUGCUGUAAGUGUUUCUGCAACUUAUCUGAUACAUUUAACAGCCAGUCCGCUCCAUGUUCACAAUUUCCCCACUCAAACUCUGAACUAUCACCUGUGAACGUGAACUCACCCCAGUCUUUCUACAAACUCUGCUUGACCCCAGAACUGAUAACUGUCCCUAUUUACCUGCAACAGGCGGAAAAUAGCAGCUCUGCUAGAACCUGGUACAAUCCAUCUCUCCUUGUGUUAUAGAAAGUUAAUGUUUUAUCGUGCACUGUCACUGUCUAAAUAAAA